AGACUCGAAAUCAUUUUCACAUUUUAUCACCAAUGGCUGCGCUAUAAUCGGAGGUGUUUUCACGGUUGCUGGGAUUCUGGAUUCUAUUUUUCAUAAUACAGUUAGGCUGGUGAAAAAAACAGAAUUAGGCAAAAAAUUUUGAUAGACAG